UCGAGUUUACAACUCCCAAACCCCUGUGAACCAUACCAUAUCGUUGCCUCGGCGGCGCCCCCUCGGGGGACCGCCAGAGGACCCAAACUCUUGCCUUUUUGUAAGUUUGUCUGAGUGUUGCUCCAAGCAAAUAAAUCA
rnacentral:misc_RNA from 1 species